CCUACGGGAGGCAGCAGUCGGGAAUAUUGCGCAAUGGAGGAAACUCUGACGCAGUGACGCCGCGUGCAGGAAGAAGGUUUUCGGAUUGUAAACUGCUUUAGACAGGGAAGAAACAAGACAGUACCUGUAAAAUAAGCUCCGGCUAACUACGUGCCAGCAGCCGCGGUAAUACGUAGGGAGCAAGCGUUAUCCGGAUUUAUUGGGUGUAAAGGGUGCGUAGACGGGAAGUCAAGUUGGUUGUGAAAUCCCUCGGCCCAACUGCGGGACUGCUUUGGAAACUGCCCGGCUAGAGUGCUGGAGAGGUAAGCGGAAUUCCUAGUGUAGCGGUGAAAUGCGUAGAUAUUAGGAGGAACACCAGUGGCGAAGGCGGCUUACUGGACAGUAACUGACGUUGAGGCUCGAAAGCGUGGGGAGCAAACAGGAUUAGAUACCCGGGUAGUC
rnacentral:rRNA from 1 species